rnacentral:rRNA from 1 species
AGCGAACGCUGGCGGCAGGCCUAACACAUGCAAGUCGAACGAACCUUUCGGGGUUAGUGUCGGACGGGUGAGUAACACGUGGGAACGUGCCUUUAGGUUCGGAAUAACUCAGGGAAACUUGUGCUAAUACCGAAUGUGCCCUUCGGGGGAAAGAUUUAUCGCCUUUAGAGCGGCCCGCGUCUGAUUAGCUAGUUGGUUGAGGUAAUGGCUCACCAAGGCGACGAUCAGUAGCUGGUCUGAGAGGAUGAUCAGCCACAUUGGGACUGAGACACGGCCCAAACUCCUACGGGAUGCAGCAGUGGGGAAUCUUGCGCAAUGGGCGAAAGGCUGACGCAGCCAUGCCGCGUGAAUGAUGAAGGUAGUAGGAUUGUAAAAUGCUUUCACCGGGGAAGAUAAUGACGGUACCUGGAGAAGAAGCCCCGGCUAACUUCGUG